rnacentral:rRNA from 1 species
GACGAACGCUGGCGGCGUGCUUAACACAUGCAAGUCGAACGGUAAGGCCCUUCGGGUACGACGAGUGGCGAACGGGUGAGUAACACGUGGGUGAUCUGCCCUGCACUUCGGGAUAAGCCUGGGAAACUGGGUCUAAUACCGGAUAGGACCAUGGACUUCACGGUUUGUGGUGGAAAGCUUUUGCGGUGUGGGAUGGGCCCGCGGCCUAUCAGCUUGUUGGUGGGGUAAUGGCCUACCAAGGCGACGACGGGUAGCCGGCCUGAGAGGGUGUCCGGCCACACUGGGACUGAGAUACGGCCCAGACUCCUACGGGAGGCAGCAGUGGGGAAUAUUGCACAAUGGGCGCAAGCCUGAUGCAGCGACGCCGCGUGAGGGAUGACGGCC